rnacentral:misc_RNA from 1 species
GCAAACUUGGUCAUUUAGAGGAAGUAAAAGUCGUAACAAGGUCUCCGUAGGUGAACCUGCGGAGGGAUCAUUAACCGAAGAACAGGGGUCCCCCUCCGGGGGGGCCUCUUCACUUCACACCCUUUGUGUUCCGACCCCGUUGCUUCGGGGGCCACCCCGCCGCGAGGCGGGGGCCCCCGGUGGCUCCAUCACAAACUCGUAUACCACGCGUCCGAGUCAAACGUAAAUCGUACAAAACUUUCAACAACGGAUCUCUUGGUUCUGGCAUCGAUGAAGAACGCAGC